UACAGAGGGUGCGAACGUUGCUCGGAAUUACUGGGCGUAAAGCGCGUGUAGGCGGGAUGAUAAGUCGGAAGUGAAAUCCCCGGGCUCAACCCGGGAACUGCUUUCGAAACUGUCGUCCUCGAGUACCGGAGAGGGUGGCGGAAUUCCUGGUGUAGAGGUGAAAUUCGUAGAUAUCAGGAGGAACACCGAGUGGCGAAGGCAGGUCUCUGGGCCGAUACUGACGCUGAGGAGCGAAAGCGUGGGGAGCGAACAGG
rnacentral:rRNA from 1 species